rnacentral:rRNA from 1 species
CCAGCAGCCGCGGUAAUCCGGAAUUAUUGGGCGUAAAGAGCUCGUAGGCGGUUUGUCGCGUCUGCCGUGAAAGUCCGGGGCUCAACUCCGGAUCUGCGGUGGGUACGGGCAGACUAGAGUGAUGUAGGGGAGACUGGAAUUCCUGGUGUAGCGGUGAAAUGCGCAGAUAUCAGGAGGAACACCGAUGGCGAAGGCAGGUCUCUGGGCAUUAACUGACGCUGAGGAGCGAAAGCAUGGGGAGCGAACAGGAUUAGAUACCCUGGUAGUCCAUGCCGUAAACGUUGGGCACUAGGUGUGGGGGACAUUCCACGUUUUCCGCGCCGUAGCUAACGCAUUAAGUGCCCCGCCUGGGGAGUACGGCCGCAAGGCUAAAACUCAAAGGAAUUGACGGGGGCCCGCACAAGCGGCGGAGCAUGCGGAUUAAUUCGAUGCAACGCGAAGAACCUUACCAAGGCUUGACAUGAACCGGUAAUACCUGGAGACAGGUGCCCCGCUUGCGGUCGGUUUACAGGUGGUGCAUGGUUGUCGUCAGCUCGUGUCGUGAGAUGUUGGGUUAAGUCCCGCAACGAGCGCAACCCUCGUUCUAUGUUGCCAGCACGUGAUGGUGGGGACUCAUAGGAGACUGCCGGGGUCAACUCGGAGGAAGGUGGGGACGACGUCAAAUCAUCAUGCCCCUUAUGUCUUGGGCUUCACGCAUGCUACAAUGGCCGGUACAAAGGGUUGCGAUACUGUGAGGUGGAGCUAAUCCCAAAAAGCCGGUCUCAGUUCGGAUUGGGGUCUGCAACUCGACCCCAUGAAGUCGGAGUCGCUAGUAAUCGCAGAUCAGCAACGCUGCGGUGAAUACGUUCCCGGGCCUUGUACACACCGCCCGUCAAGUCACGAAAGUUGGUAACACCCGAAGCCGGUGGCCUAACCCCUUGUGGGAGGGAGCUGUCGAAGGUGGGACUGGCGAUGGACUAGUCGUACAGGGGUAACCGUAAUCUUCCACUUCUUCGGGGGGCAUCCUUUGGGCUGGCCCCCGCCACUGCUCGCUCAUCGUAUGUGAAAGAGCUGAGCACCUGGAGGCCUCUAUCCUGCAUGGGCAGCUGAUGUAGAGGCAUCUGACAAUGGAAGGCACGCUGCCCAAUCGUAGCCUCACGGUUGAGACAUCUAGCACCAGUGAUCUUGAGUCCCAGUAGGGCUUCG